GGCUGCUUCAAUAUCUAUUUUACACAGAGAUGUUAAGUCAUCGAACAUUCUCUUGGAUGAUCACUUCACAGCAAAAGUAUCAGAUUUUGGGGCUUCAAGAUUUAUUCCACUUGAUCAAACUCAUAUAGUUACCGGCAUUCAAGGUACCUUUGGAUACUUGGAUCCAGAGUAUUAUCAAACAAGUCAAUUGACAGAGAAGAGCGAUGUUUAUAGCUUUGGGGUCAUUCUUUUGGAGCUUUUAACAGGAAAGAAACCUAUUUUCUCCGUCGAACAUGAGAAUAAACAGAACCUGUCAAUAUAUUUUCUCCAAGCACUACAAGAGAAGCGCUAUUUUGAUCUCGUGGAAGAUCGUGUUAUGAAAGAAGGGACUAAACAAGAACUUAUGGAAGUUAUUCAACUAGUAGCAACGUGCUUGAAAUUUAAAGGAAGCGAAAGGCCUACGAUGAAAGAAGUGGAGUAUAAACUACAGAACCUAAUAAGGAUUAGAAAGAAUGGAGGACGUCAUAUUGCAGAAGGUAAUGAAGAAACUGAGUACCUAUUGAGCGAUUCAUCUUAUACUUUCUCUGAUUCAGUUGACCAAGCAACCGAAGGGACAUCCAGGAAUUAUAGCUUAGAAAAAGAAUUCAUGUGGUCACAUUAUAACCCACGGUGAUUGUGUACUGCACUAAUAUUUAUAUUUGUGUGUAUUGACAAUAUAAACCUAACGCAUCUUAUGUGUGGGUCAUUAUAUGUCAUGUGGUGAACACGUGAGAACGUUAUGUAGCAAAGGACUGGUAUUGUCAUCGGUAUGCUUGUAUCUUAUUAUAUAUCUGAUCAUAAUAUGUAUACAGCUUGUUUGCUUAAUGGCCCAUGUUAAUCUUCCCUUUCUUGAAUCUAUAGUGUUAAUGACAAUUAUGAUGAUGAUACUUAUGAAAUGUUGAGUUCUCAAAAUCAAGAAUCGAAACCAUCGGUUUUGGUUCCGAUUUGGAUGAUUUCUAUUCCGAUUUUAAAAAAUAUUUUUAAAUAUAAAAAAUCAUAAAUUUUUAAAAUUUAAAAAUAGAUGUAUAACUAUAAUAGGCAAGGCUGAUAUAAAAAAAUAUAUAAAAUUUUUAAUCAAACUAAAUAACUCUUCGAAAAAAAAUCUUUAAUCAAACAUAAAACCACUCUCAAGACUCAAACCCACAUUCAUUGAUUUAAAUUUAACAUUUUAGUCACUAUAAUAUAUAUAUUAUAUAAUUAUUUUUAAAAAUAUUUCAACAGUUUAAAAUCGAAAUCAUCAGUUUGGAAUCAAAAUCAUCGGUUUUAAUUUUUUAAAUAAAAAAUUAAACCCGAACCACGAUUCCGAUCCAAUUUUAAUUCCAACUUAAUUCGAUUUUGAUUAGAACAGUAACAGAACCCGGACAUGCUCCGACCAACAUGAAGUUCAUGUUACGAGUGUACAUAGAACAGGUCUAAUCAACUUUGUUGACCGCUGUACCGUCUUUUGAGUCGUGCCAAGUCAUCAUCAUCUAUAUCAGCAAUCUACCCCUUCGUGAGCAUCUGCAAGUCGUCCCUCCAGUAAGUCUCGCUCCUCCAUCACAGCUACUGCGGGUUCGAUACAUCAUCUAUAUCAACAAUCGAUCUCUCUCUGUGUGGACAUCUUUGCAGGCGUCCUUCAAGCCAACAGCCAGAGACGCGAAGGUGAGUGUACUUUGCUCUCCCAUUACUCCUGUCUUCUUCACAAGUUUGACAUUAAAUUUCUUUGCUGCGCUUCUUACUUGCCUAUUUGCACUCAGCUGUUUCCAAAUCUAUUUUAGACGGAGAUGUUAAGUCGUUAAACAUUUUUUUGGAUGAUCAUUUUAUGACAGAAAUAUCAGAUUUUGAAGUCUUAAGAUCUAUUCCGCUUGGUCAAACUCAUAUAAUCAAUGCUACACAAGGUACCUUUGGAUACCUAGAUCCAGAGUAUUAUCAUACUAAUCAAUAAACUGAGAAGAGCGAUGUUUAUAGUUUUAGAGUCAUUCUCUUAGCACUUUUAACAGGAAAAAACCUAUCGUUUCCAUAGAACAAACAGAGUCUAUCAAUGUAUUUUCUUCAGGUAAUGAGAUAGAGACACUUGUACGAAUUCAUAAAAGAUCUUAUUAUGAAAGAAAUAAUCUAAACAAGAUUUUAUGGAAAUCAUCAAGAUGAUAGAAAUGUGGUUGAGGUUAAAAAGAAUUGAAAGACCUACGAGUACAAUUUACAAAACCUGAGAAAAAUUAAAAAUAGAGGAGCAUAUAAUAUUGUAGAUGGUGACGAAGAAACCAAGUAUCAGCUAAGUGAUUGAUCUUAUGUUUUCUCUAAUUCAACUGACCAAGCAAUUUAAGAGACAUCUAGAAAUUAUAGCUUAGAGAAGGAAUUCAUGUAGUCGCCAAAUAACCCUCAUGUGGGUGAUGUUCGGAUUCUACUAGUAUUCACAUUUAUAUUGACCACUUGAACUCUCUUUCUCUUGUGCCUACUAUAUAGUGUGUAUAAUAUUUGGGGUCAAGGAUCUCACGAAACCCUCAUGUUGGUGGCAUGAUGUUGCAGAAUAUAGUUCCAAAUAAUUCCAGGAUUGUUAUCGACUUGUACUUCCACUGGCAAGUUAAACUAUGCCCGAUAAAUGGUCAUACAAGCUAUGCUUUACGUGCAUCAGAUCAUGUGUAUUGCGCGUUUGCUUAAUCUUUCUCUCGUUUGAAUGGUCAGAUCAUGCUCCAUUCUCGUUCCACCCUUUAGUUCGCAUUCCAUUAUAGGUAUGUAUGGUCUCACGUCUUUCCUAACGUUAAUAGAUAACAGGUUCUGUUCUUUUUUUCUUGGAAUUCAGGAAUCCCUGUUGGAUGUGAAUCCGAGGGUAGCAACGGGAUGUCGUUUUCUUUGCUUUGAGUUAAGAUUUUGUAGUUUUGACAAGCAUAUUAAAAGAUAAAGUUUACUAUUUAAAGUCCUUUUUAUUAUUGAUAAUUUUUAAAAAUAAUAAAAUAUUAUUUUACUAUUUAUGGUUUUGGUAGUAUUGAUAUUUCUUAUUCUCCAAAACCCUUUAUUUCAUCCUAUUGAUGUCGCUUGAUAUCGUUCGACCCCACUUAUCGCCCCUUAGGAAAAAAAAACAAAUUGAUACAAAGGAGAAUGAUAAAGAACAAUAAGAAAAGGAAGCAGAAGAGAAUAUUUAUUUUUGUUUACAGAGGAUAGUAUAAAAAUAUUUGAAACUUUUAAAUAGAAUUACAAAUAACAAAAAGGGGUUACAAACAAUAUUCUUCCUUUUAAGGAGAAGAUAUUACUUUUUAACCUAUUCUUACUAUUUUAUACUCGAGGAAUCAUGUCAAGGAGUGAUGAGCAUGCAAGCAGCAAGCAACGUUAGACAUGAACAGUAGCAAAUAACAUAAUAUUUUAUUUUUUUUAAAUGAUUGUCGAAAGUAAGAAAGAUUGUCAAUUGUAAAAAAAAGAGGCUAUGAACAGUAGCUUCCCUAUAAAUUGGAUUAAAAAAACCGCGGACAUACGGUGGUCCUAAACAUGGACUGUGCAUCCCUGACAAAAAGCAUACUCUUUUGUUAGGUAUGUGGAACUGUAUGAUUGAGUAAUUGAAAUGGAAAACAAAAAAAACAAAAGAAAUAAAAGAGAAACUAAACGUCAUUGACAAAGCUAUGAAACACAAACGGGAAGUUAUAUGAAGCUAAAACUUGAUUAUGUGUAGGUUUUUGUGGUUCUAAGAAAGAAAUGGAAGGAAAGAAAUAAAAGAAAAUACGGGUAAAGUACGUCCGUCAAAAUUAUGGAUUACCACUACAACAGUUUAUCUAUUCCAAUGAAAAUAUUGCACGGAGAACAAAAAUAUUUUCUGUAGAAGAUAAAAUCAAUUAACAAUUUUUAUGAGAAUCGAAUAUUCGAUGGUGGAGGACAUGGAAAAGUUCGAAAGGAAUUCUACCGGAUCAAGGUGCAGUUGCCAUAAAAAAUCAAAAAUUAAGAAGGAGAAUGAGAUAAAUCAAUUCAAAAAUAAGAUUGUAAUUCUUUCUCAAAUUAUAGCUUGGAGACACAUAAUUUAUAUAAUUCAUGGAUACACAUCCAUGAAUUAUAGCUUGGAGAAGGAACUCUUGUGGUCACACGAUUACCCAAGGUGAGUUUGAUCUCCACUCAUGCCUAUAUAAUGUUGCAGUGUAUUAGAUUUGGGUUUAACCAUAUCAUGUAAUGCGGUUUUGGGUAAUGUUGUGUUUGAAAUUUUCAUCCCAAAUACAUUUCAAAGUUCAUGUGAUACCCACAUAGAGUGAGAACAAUUUUGCGACGAAAAUUUGGUAGGUUAAUCUGUGUUCUAUUGAAAUCGCUGGUAAUAAGCUUGUAUAAAGUCAAUUUUCGUUCGGUAUAGCCUUUGUAUGUACCACAUCAUAUGCACAUUAUACAUUUGUUUUAUCAAUACGUACCACAUUAGGGAGCGAUGCAAAAACUUGGUGGAAGUCAAUCCAUUGAUCUUUUUAUUCUCAUUUCACAUAAGGUGACCCAUGGUGAUUGAUUUGUCUACAUGAUGUAACGCAAGUAGCAGGACAAGGCCACUUGUAGAACGAAAGGUGAGUCUCUAUCUCUUCUAUCCAAAGAAGUAGCAAUGUUGGAUUACAUAAUUCAAGCACGAGCUCCUGUGGCACAAAUGUAGACGGGUGGAUGCACAAAGGCCACACCUUCUGAAGCGUGAACGUGAUGUUCACGCUAGAUAGACUCGUGCUGCUGUUUUGACGACUAAUGAUCUAAUGAGGCGACUUAAACUGAUUGUCUUGUUGACUAUCUAAGAGACGAGUUGUUGAAAUAUUACGUUAACAUCAAUUGGAAUUUCUAAGUCACUCAUAUAAAUUUAACAUCGUGCUCUUUCCUUUUCUUUCAAGUUCAGGAGGUUGUCAAGAAAGGGCGAGGUCUAUAGAGUCAGGGUCCAUUUUAAUAUAUCAUUUUCUAUGUCAAACGAAUUAUUUGUAAUUAUCCUCGUUGUGGAAAGUGAUGGUCAAUUAAGAGAAGCCAAUCAUAAUUUUCUUUCUCUGUAGUUAUUGUUUUAAACAUUUAAAACGAUUAUUGAGUAAUUCAGCACUCCCUUAGUUUCUAACUCGAUGAUAUUCAUCAUAUAUUUUUACCGUUCUAUCUUCACAUAUUGUGCGUAAAGUAUAUGACACGGUAUAACCGUUUAGCACCCAUACAUAUAUAUAACUAUAACUAAUUAUUCAACCAUAGUAAUAAUGGGUUAUUCAUUUAUUGUUUUCUUUUUCACCAUAGCAACGAGAUUAACUCAUAUAUAGUUUUGAGUAGGAAGGUAAGUAAAGUAAGAUUUCUAAAGCUUUUAAAUCUAAAUUAAUGCAAACUUGAAUAUAAAGAUAGUAUCAGCUAACAAGAAGGUGUAAAAAAGUUGUGUGAUAGAUAUAUUACUGCUAAAUUAUGCUUAAGCACCUUAAGUUAAUAGUUCAUAUAUAAAGAAGUUAAUAGGUUAGUAUCUUGUUAGGUUGAUUGGUGACAAACAGACAUGAUGAAAGAAUGAAGAUUAAUUUAUAAGAGGCAGAUAUUAGCUUGGAUAGAAUAAAAAAACUUCAAAAAAGAAAAUACUGUACUCUUAUGCUAUAAAAUGAUUCAUCUUUGUAUCAACCUUACAUGUCAUAUUUCUUGAGUCACUUUUUUUUGUGACAGAGAGGAGGGAGAACUAGUGAGUUAAGUGGAAGUCAGGAUAGUUCCUCUUUAAACAAGAAGUAGAGAACAACAACCUAAAGAAAAAUCCAAACAUAAUGUCUCACUCGUAGAUGGACCACUAAGCGUAGACCAAUAAGAGAAAAUAUGAAAAGAAUAAGCUACCUGAAAAUCCACAUUUAUCCGAGAAAAUAUAUAUAUAUACUUCAAAGAUAAAGACAUUACUUGACAAUCCAACAAUAACUUCAACUAUACGUAACUGCACCAUCAGAUUCCAUCAAAAUGUUGAAAUGAUCAUUGUUUAGCUGUUAGUAUAUAAGUUAAGUCCUAAUUUUUGUCACUAGUAGCGAGAUUUUUUUAGAAAGUAAUUUCAUAUCUAAAAUGAAUUAAGAAAUGAAUAGUUUAGGAUUAGUCCUGCUAUCAAUAUUGGUCCAUAAAUUAAAUAAGUUUUUUAUAUUACAAUCAUGAUAUAUUACCCUACUUAUGGCUUGACUAAUUAUUACCUAUCCAAAUUCGAAGAAUAAAUUAGAGAACGACUCACAUGGAAGUUUCUAAGGAUAAUUUCUCUUCGAACAAAGGGAGAACAAUAACUCAAUAGAAAAUCCGAACAUGAUCUCACUUAUACAUGAACGCUUUAGACAACUACAAGCAUAGACCAAUAAGAGAAAAUUGUGAAAAGUAGAGACUACCUGAAAGAGCAUAUUUAACUUCAAAGAUACAGAUAUUAUUUGACAAGCCAACAAUAACUUCAACCAUACGAUACUUCACUAUCCAAUUAGUACGUCGAAAAGACCAUUGGUUGGCUGUUGGUAUAUGAGUUAAAUCAUUAUUUUUGUUAUUAGUUGUAGGAUUUUAUUAAAAAGUAAUUUUAUAUCUAAAAUAAAUUUAAAAUGAGUAGUUCAGGAUUAGUCCUGUUAUCAAUAUUGGUCUAUAAACUAAAUAGCAUAAGAUUUUAGAUUACAAUCAUGCUAUAUUACCCUAAUGAUGGUUUGACUAGUUGUUUUUUGUCCAAAUUCAAAGAAUAAACCACAUUGAAAUAAGAAGACAAAAGCGAGAAUGACUCACAUGAAAGUCUCUAAGGAUAAUUUCUCUUCGAACAAGAAAUAAUAGCAACCCAAUGGAAAAUUCAAAUAUGAUAUCUCACUUGUACAUUGACACUUUAGACGACUACAAGCAUAGAUUAAUAAGAGAAGAUGUGAAAAGUAUAGGCUAGUUGAAAUUUCAUAUUGUACCAUCCGAUUAGUACAUUAAAAUGAUCAUUGUUAGUAUACGAGUUAAAUCCCAAUUUUUGUUAUUAAUUAAGAAAUGAGUAGUUCAGGAUUAGUCAUGCUAUCAACAUUGGUCAUAAACUCAAUUUUAUAUCUAAAAUAAAUUAAGAAAUGAGUAGUUCAGGAUUAAUCAUGCUAUCAAUAUUGGUUCGUAAACUAAAUAAUAUAAGUUUUUAGAUUACAGUCAUGCUAUAUUACCUUAUUGAUGACUUGACUAGUUGUUCCCUGUCUAAAUCUGAAGAAUAUUCAUACAAGAAGAUAGAAACGAGAAUGAUUGACAUGAAAAUUUCUAAGUUUCUCUUCAAAUGAAAAGAUAAUGGCAACCAAAGGAAAAUCCAAAUAUGGUAUCUCACUUGUAUAUGGAUGCUUUGGAUGGCUACAAGCGUAACUAAUGAGAGAAAAAAUGUGAACGUAUAGACUAGCUGAAAAUUCACAUUUAACUUCAAUAAUAAAGAUAUUACUUGAUAAGCCAACAAUAACUUCAACCAUGCUGCACUAUCCGAUUAAUACUUUGAAAUGACCCUCGUUUAGUAUAUGAGUCAAAUACCAAUUUUUGUUACUAGUUGUGAAGGAUACACCACAAAGACUUGAUUUUUCAGCAUGGAGAAACGUAUCAUAUCGUUGUUCGUGCCCGAUGGAACAGCUUCCACAAGUCCAAACAGAUAGCAAUACCCUCUACAAUUCUAGUCAAGUCUGUUCAGUAGUGUAGUUCUAAUUAUUGCUCUGAAACAAAUACUCCGAAGACAACAUUUAUACUUUUAUUCCCCUUCAUUCACAUGUAACCUUUUAAGUGUUUGUUAGAUAUUACUUAAACAAGAAGGAUUGGGUCUUCGGAAAAAGAUAUUUUUAAAUUUUAAUUUUACUUAUGUGGUUUUAUUAUUUUACUCUAAAAUUGAUUUAAAUUUUUUUCCUAAAUUAUCUGAGGCGUUGUGCUUGCAAAUUACUAAUCUAAAUAUUGGUAAGUUCUAUAUAUCUUGGGGCUCAGGUCAAGUUUUUAAGUCAAAAUGCAUGUUUUGCGUCCUACUUGAAAUUUCCACAAGCACAAGAAAUUGUUUCCAAGGGAGGACAGAUAACAGAUAACGCAAGUUAACAUCACAAAAUAUUCUACCGUAGGAUUUAGUGCAAAGACUUGGAAGUCAAAGUCCAUUGAUGUUUUGGAGAUGUGAUAGUCAUGGCAUUAAUCUUUCUCCUGUUUGAACUGGCAUGUCAGAUAAAAUUAAGAAAUCAAUUAUAAUAUUUGCAAGAAUGGAGACUUUUCUCCUUUUUUUUCUCCUUAUAUAUAUUACCACCAUAUACAAACUCUAAAGAGGGAAUGGUUGUGAAGCAGGUGUCAUGAUAACUUGAAUUGAUUCUCACCCUGUCAUCAUGAAAUCAUUCUCCAUUCUCGUUCCACCAAUUUAUUCGCAUUCCAUUGUAGGUGCUAUUGCACGUUGUACCUAGUUCUGUUCUCUUUUCCUGGAAUUCACAAACGCCUGUCGGAUGUGAAUCCGAAGGCAAACUUGAAACCGAGUAAAGAACCGAUUGUUCUUUUGAAAGAUCAUAGGAGUCAGCAAUUGGAUGUCAUCCGCCAUCUUAUCAGGUGAGAAACGCACUGUGAAUGGUUUAAUUUCCAGGUGGGUUAUACUCAAUCUAUCCCAAUCAAGCUAUUGGCGUCGAUGAUGGUUUGUAUUCACUUUAUCCUUGAAAGAUAUGCAAGCGAUGCAUCAAACUUCAUUUGUCUCAAUCACGUACCGUAAAAGGUGAGGCCAUAUGACCACGACAAGGCCGGUUUUGCACCAAUACUUCGUCCGAGGCCCCAACGAAGGAAGACCGGCUUCUCAUUGAACCAAAUUUAUGGCUUUUAAGGGUGUUGUUUACUUUAUGAGUACAGUACAAGCUCAGGUCGAUACUCAGAAGCCUUCUAAAGUCAGUUGUUUAUGCGUGAUUAACAAUUCCAUAAUGGUCAUAAUAUACACGAGUAAAUUACGCAACACUUAGUCAGUAUAGCUAUUCAGCAACCACACAUAUAAUUCGAAGUCGACAUAUUUGCAUGCAGUAUUGGGUUGUUCAUUUUAUUUUCUUUUUCACCGUAGCAUUGAGAUCGACCCGGAUAUUGUUUUUGUACGAUGGACAAUGGAAUUAGAUUUCCCGAGCCUUUGGAAGUGGCAAUGAUUCCGACCAACUUAGUCGUUUGGAGAAAAAAGAUGCAUUGCAUCAUAACUGGUGGCCGAUGGAACAGCUCUGACGAGUUCAAAGAGGUAAGCAGUACCCACUAAAAGUCUAGUCAACUUUGUUGAUUGGCUUGCCAUCUCCAUCUGCAAGCGUGGUUAGUUAUAACUCCAGCAAUUGUUUCGAGCACAUCAUCUAUAUCAACGACCUAACUCCCUAUUGCAGGUGUCCUUCAAGAUAGAGUAACAACCAGAGACGCGAAGGUGAGUGGAAUUUGCUCUCCCAUUACUCCGGUCUUCUUCACAAGCUUUACAUUUAAUUUCUUUGUUGCGCUUCUUCGUUUUCCUUAGUAACAUCGAUGCAAAACGGAUGUAUAUGAUCAUAUAAUUUCGAUUCUUGUGCUAGAGAUCCUCCAUAUCUUGGGCUACAGCUACAACCUCAGUAGUAUCAUGAUUGGGAAUUUUGCAUCUGUUAAUUAUCAUACAUAGCUUCUCCUGUAGCUGCGUUUUUGGUAUUACCGUAGAGUGUUUUAUGCCUUGCCCAUGUCGCCGAUUCAAGUUACUCUCUGACCUGCAGGAAUCCCGCUUAAUCGAACAGGACUGAGGCAGCUGGAAGAGGGAAACGUUAGAGAGAGAGAGAGAGGAUGGGGUGGGUGGAACUGUUGCUGCUGCUUCUGACAUUGAGUUCAAUGGGUUUAACAAAUGCAGAAAGCGCAUCGACAAAGGAACCUUUCACUUUACCUUCCAAUUGCACAAAAAGAUGCGGUAAUAUCAGCAUCGAGUACCCUUUCGGGAUAGGCAAUGGUUGUUAUCGUCCUGGCUUUAAUCUUACUUGCACGAACUAUACCAACCAACCUCCAAGGCUCUUCUUGGGUGAUGGAAAAUUCGAGAUCACUAGAAUCGAUUUGGAUAAUGGGACCGUGAGCGUCAUGACACCCAUUAUCACCAUGGGUGUAGAUGAGGAGUUCAUUAAUGUUACUUUAAUUGAUCUUCAGAAUUUGCCUUGCUCUUUAAAAUCAUUGGAUCUGCGGAAUUAUUACCCAAGAUAUACAUAUAAUCGUUUGUAUGUGUCUGGUUGCAGCGUGGUUGCCGACCUAGUGGAUCCCACCACCAAUAGGACUAUCGGUACUUGCAUAACUAGAUGCACUUCCAAUGACAACAGUCAGUGCAAACUUGAUUUAUAUGAUUGGAAUAGUACUUCAUUGGAGGUUCGAUUAACUCGACUCAAUCAGAGUGACUUUCAUUUGCUUGAUGCUUCCAUUAUCAAAGUUUUCGUGUACGAUUAUUACAAUUCUACCAUAUAUGAUCUCCAAAGAAUAGUGAAAGGCAGGAGCUCGGAAGUGGAGACUGCCCUAUCAUGGUACAUCAAAGACUAUCAUACCUGCGAAGAGGCUAAGAAGAAUAUGAAAACUUAUGCCUGCAUCAGUCCCAAUAGCGACUGUUAUGAUGUCAUUAAUUAUUAUAACUACACUGAUUAUAAUUUUGGGUACUUUUGUCAAUGUUCUGUUAAUUAUCAAGGCAACCCAUAUCUACCAAAUGGCUGUCAAGGUAAUAUUCCUCCUCAUCUCUCUUUGUGUGAGUUCGAUUAGAUAAACAUGAUAUGCAAUAGAAGUGAUUAAAUAUAAUACACGCAUGAUAAGUUUAAAUAUUCUUCGUGGUUCUCUGUUAUGCUUGAUACUGGUUUCUCUUUUUUUGACAAUCAAACUGGUAAAAGGGAUGUUUACUUGUGUAAAGAAAUCCAUCUUACUAUUAAAUAAGACUUGUUACAUAGUAGAAUAGGCUAAAUGCUGUAAUGGCUUGAAUCCCCUGCUCAUUAGAUAAUUAAAUGGUACAACAUACAUUAGAUCCCUAGGCCAUUUGCCUUAUCCAUCUCCAUAAUAACACAGGAGAAAGUCUGGUCUUCGUAUCUACAAUCCUACGCCUUCGGGAUUUUAUGAUCGCUACUCACUUAUUCUCAAUGCUUGGCUUACGAUUUUGAUUUUUUAGAUAUAAGUCAAUCUUACAGCUCCUUUUGGCCAUCCGAUAACGAAAAACAUGGUAAGCUUACGACAACUUCUGCUGCUGACCUGCUUCAUCAUAUCAACAGAUACAUCUUUUAUUCUACAGCCGGUGAAUGGCUGUCCAACCAAAUGUGGGAGUGUUGACAUCCCUUUUCCAUUCGGGCUAAACGAAGGGUGUUAUAGAGACCAAUCAUUUGCUCUAACGUGCAACCACACGUCAAAUCCUUCCACUCUUCUCUUCCAAGAGGAUUACAUAGUGCACAGUAUAUUAUUGAAGAAAGGGCAAUUAGAAGUUGAGUAUAAAUACAAUGAAGCCGACGGCUAUACCUAUACAACUACACCUUUCACUUUCGUUGACGAGCAGCCCAUUGUUAGUUGGGUCAUUGAGAAUCAACAUUGCAAGGAUGCUCAAAGCAAUAGGACCACGUUUGCUUGUGUCGAUGAACACAGCUUAUGUCUGGACAUUAACACCACAACAAGCGAUGGUCAAAAUAUCUUGGGGUACCGUUGCAAUUGCUCCACAGGUUACGAAGGAAAUCCAUACCUUAGUAAUGGAUGUACAGGUACUUGAUUCCUUUACCUCUCUCUUAAAUGUUAAAAAUUAGUCAUGCAAUUAAAUCUACACAAUGUUAAAAGCAAAAAAAAAAAAGGCUAGCCAUGAAAUAGACGCCGAAUACUUUCACAUUCAGAGACUUCGUUUUUUAUCUUAUUUGUCCAAUUAUCCAUUCAAAAGUUUUCCUUGUUUCUCAUUUAUGCACUGAUACGUGCCUGUUAUUUAUUUGCAUGAUUCCCUAAAAAUCCUUCUCAAGAAUUGUGCAUACCGAUAUCUUCAGCUACCUUAACUGCAUAUCUGAAUAACGAAAUCGAAUUUAUUACGUGUAAGAUGGUGCCAACUUAGUACAUGACUCCCUAUAUAUUUUUUUAUAGGACAAUUUUAUCAUCCAGAACCUAUCAAAUUUAUACUCCUUGUUCUUCUAUGGGGGAGAAAUUACUCUGGAAAUGCAUACAAUAUUUUUCCUUCUAUAAACAGUAACGUUAAUUACCAAAGAGUACCAUUUCAUCGCAAAAAUAAUUUUGUCAUUUGAUCACAAAAGCUAAUAUUUAAUCGUCAGUGUGCAGCUCAGAAAAAAAUUAUGUAAACUGUGUGCAUGGUAAUUAUCAUUUAAAAGAUCGAGUUCUGAGUUUAACGUGAGAUAUAGCUACUAACUUUCUUUUUUAUGAUUUGUCCAGAUAUCGAUGAGUGUAAAUUCCCCGACAGAUACAUCUGCAAUGGGGUUUGUAAUAACACGAUGGGCAGUUAUAGCUGCACAUGUCCACGAGGGACAACUGGUGAUCCUAAACGAGCAUGCAUCCCCGACAAAAAGCAGACUGUUCUAUUGGGUAAGUCCUCCAAACUUAUUGGUUUAUAAAGAUGCAAUAGGAAUAUUAGUACGUCUGAUAUAAAUCAAAGUAUAUAUACAAAUGAUUGAGCAAAUAGAAAUAAAGAACCAAAACAUGCACAAAAAUUAAUGUACACAGGCUGCAAUGUGAGAAUAGAAUACUCAAUGGUUGGUAUCUACAGGUGUCAUCAUCGGCGUAAGCAAUGGCGUGGGCCUAUUUCUGUUGAGUACUAGUUUGAUCAUCCUUAGGAGGAAAUGGAAGAAAAGAAAACAAAAGAGAAUAAGAGAAAAACACUUCCGUCAGAAUCAUGGUUUACUGCUACAACAACUAAUUUCUUCCCGUGAAGAUGUUGCUGAGAGAACAAAGAUAUUUCCUCUGGAAGAGGUCGAAAAGGCAACCAAUAAUUUUGAUGAAACUCGAGUGAUCGGUCGUGGAGGACACGGAACAGUUUACAAAGGGAUUCUGUCGGAUCAACGCGUAGUCGCCAUAAAGAAGUCAAAGAUUGUGAAGAAGAGCGAGAUAGAUCAAUUCGUCAAUGAGGUUGCAAUUCUUUCUCAAAUUAAUCACAGAAACGUGGUAAAGCUUUUUGGAUGCUGCUUGGAGACCGAAGUGCCCUUAUUGAUCUAUGAAUUUAUCUCAAACGGAGCUCUUUCGGACCAUCUCCAUACUUCAGAUGGUAGUUCUGCAUUGUCAUGGGAAGCUCGUCUGAGGAUCGCUGCAGAAACCGCAGGAGCACUUGCUUAUUUGCACUCGGCUGCUUCAAUAUCUAUUUUACACAGGGAUGUAAAGUCAUCGAAUAUUCUCUUGGAUGAUCACUUCACAGCAAAAGUAUCAGAUUUUGGAGCUUCAAGAUUUAUUCCACUUGAUCAAACUCAUAUAGUCACCGGUAUUCAAGGGACCUUUGGAUACUUGGAUCCAGAGUAUUAUCAAACAAGUCAAUUGACAGAAAAGAGCGAUGUUUAUAGCUUUGGGGUCAUUCUUCUGGAGCUUUUAACGGGAAAGAAACCUAUUUUCUCCAUCGAACAUGAGAAUAAACAGAACCUGUCAAUGUAUUUUCUCCAAGAACUGAAAGAGAAGCGCUAUUUUGAUCUCGUGGAGGAUCGUGUUAUGAAAGAAGGGACUAAACAAGAGCUUAUAGAAGUUAUUCAACUAGU
rnacentral:lncRNA from 1 species